rnacentral:rRNA from 1 species
AAGAUUAAGCCAUGCAUGUCUCAGUACUUGCUUUUACAAGGCGAAACCGCGAAUGGCUCAUUAAAUCAGUUAUGGUUCACUAGAUCGUACAGUUUACAUGGAUAACUGUGGUAAUUCUAGAGCUAAUACAUGCAUUCAGCUCGCUCUCUCGGGAGCGAGCGCAGUUAUUAGAAUAAAACCAAUCCGGCCUUCGGGUCGGUACAAUUGGUGACUCUGAAUAACCGAAGCGGAGCGCAUGGUCUCGUACCGGCGCCAGAUCUUUCAAGUGUCUGACUUAUCAGCUCGUAGGUAGGUUAUGUGCCUACCUUGGCUUCGACGGGUAACGGGGUGUCAGG